CGGAGCACGUUGCGUCUAUUCGUAACGGCAUCAAGACCAGGUUUGUGCCCGUUCCUUCCCGUCACAGCAGCCCCUGUAAAGGAAAGCAGCCUGAAAUAAGGGGUGGGUGACACUGCUCGAAGACGGUCUGCGUGGUGUGGGCAGGGGUUUAACUCGUUAGCGGAUGCGAAGCAGGGAGGGCCGUAAGCAUAGCGGGGCAGGAUUCGGUGUUGUUUUCUGGAGAUGGGGGGGAAAAAACUAGGGAGAAAAGGCAUUUCGCUGAAGAAAAUGACAAGGAAAGGUGCUCAAAUGGAAACAUCCAGUCCCCUGUUAGUGAGUAAAAGUGCUGUUAGCAGUUCUGUGGAAAUAUAUCUGAGAGCAGGAAUCGAGAAUCAGCUCAGAAAGCGCUUCUGUACGGUGACAGAGCAGGAAUUCUCAGUAAAUGCCAAGUAAUCCUUCGCUGCCUCCUCCAGAUGAGGCUUGUCGUUUGGAUGUGUCAAAGGGACCUUCAAAGAGGAAGGGACUGACUUUUCCUGGGAUCGCUGGGAGCAGGAUGUGGUCACAGGCUUCCAGCUCAGCUCGGGGAGCCUGGGCUAAGCGUUAACGGUGACUGGGGAGGAUGGGUGAGCCCUGGCAGAGCCUGGGAGGGUGCUGCUGUGUCUGCCUGUGGAAGGACAAACGAAACGAGUCGGAAACGAAGAGCCAGUAGCUCCUGGGGAUCAGGGAAGGGUCCCGUUAAGGACUCUUCUGGAUGAGGUUGAGGAUAGAAGGACUAUCCUGGCAAGCGAAGCGAGACACAAACUGAAUUAAUUUUGCGUGUGAAACCUGAGAAAUGAGAGAAAAUAAAAACUACGCUUUAUACGGGUGCUUGGCCUUCCCCUGAAUCAGCUGCACGUAGACAAGAGCAGAGGCAAUGGGCCUGUGGCAAAGGCCCUGGACUUUUUAUCCCUCGAUCCCCACAAUCGGUUUUAAUCUGGUAGCUGGUAAUGCACAGCCUUUGGUCUGCAUUUGGUCUUCAGCUAAGUUUCGAAUAGAGAUCGUGGCCGAGUAUUUUUGUGGUCCCUCAAUAACCACGAGCCUUGUUUGUCUGCGGGAGCCCGGCCAGCAGGGUGAGCAGGGCCUGCUCAGCAAGGACGGCAUCCCCCAGCAGCACGAUCUUCCCGGCUGAGAUGGGGCAACAGCUUUCCUAACAGCAUUGCAACAUCCCUCCCGUCUUCAGGGAGCGCGGGCGUCCCGGAGAGACGGGGGGGGGUUUGGUGGCGGAGCCCUUUCAUCAGGUCUGCCACGUCAGGCCGGAGCGGUUAAACCUCGAGUCGUUUUGUUCCGCUGCAAAAUGACCCUGCGUCAACUGCGGGGUGGGAUUUUUUUUUUUUUUGAGGGUGGGACUCCGAAUGAGGUCAAGCCAAGCCGUGAUUUAAGUGCUGAGUUAUUCAGCACGCUUUGCUCCGCUCCUCUGACAGCUGCGUGCCGAGAUCAUAGGAACUACCCUGCAGAGCUGGCCUGUUCGGCGUCCUCAAGCCCAUCGCCUUUUUUUUUUUUGUCAUGUGAACAAGCUUCAGGCAAAGUGGUUUGUCGCAUAAAAUCUCCAGGGUGAGCAUGAGGGAUACUUCGGGUGUCCUCUGUGCUUUAAGGAACCCGGGGGAAAAAAAAACAAACAUAAAGCACCCUGGAAAAAGCGAUCAGGCUGAUGGUAGCCGGCAGCAGGUGCCGCAAGGAAUGUCCUACGGGAGGCUAAACGGGGCAGCCUGCUCCCUCGUUUCCAUCCCAACAGACAGACACAGCCCGUGAAGAUGAUCUGGAAGGAGCCUGAAGGAGCUGAAACACGCCUCGUGUUCCCUGUACCCGAGAGUCCUGCCUCUGUCUCUUCCCAGGCUUGCGUGACAAGCAGAAGAGAGCUAAACGUCGCCGUUCCUCAUGUUGUAAUGUUUUUAAAAUAGCCUCGGACACGU